rnacentral:lncRNA from 1 species
UGGGCAGGUGUCUGUCAGUCAGGUUUGUCCUGAUCGGCUCCAUUCCCGCCCGGGCGGCGGCACAGGCCGUGUGCGUGGGCAGGAGCGCCGGGAUACGCCGUGGGGAUGCAGCACGGAGCGUGGGGAUGCAGCAUGGAGUGUGGGGAUGCAGCACGGAGCCGGAGCCAGCGGAGACAGCUGGUGGAGAAUCCCCCCACCUCCUUCCUCAUCGCCCACGGAGCAGCGUGCCCAGCCCAGCCGUGACCACUGAGAUCACUGGGAGGGCCUGUGGGGUAUCCCAGGCCCCACAGACAUCAUCUGGGAGAGAAGGCUUGUGUGUUUGAAGCACUGUGCCUCUGGCUUGCUGGAGAAGGUGGUGGAUGCUCUGAGUCUGGGGAUACUGAGGCAGAAGCAGCGGACAAGGUUUGUCUUGAGUUGUGCAAGAAGCCAAGGGUUAAAUAUGGCAAUUAACCCUCCCCAGGCUCCUCUGCUUCUGCCCCCAGCUGCUAGAGGAGCUAGACCCCACAGGGAGCUUAUGCUGGGGGAAGAAAGCACAGAGGCUGGGGGCUUUCCAGCCCUGCUGUAACCCUUUGUGCCCCCGCUGAUGGAUCCCGGGAGCUGCAGCACGGACCUGGAACAGUCGGUGUCAGGGCAGGCCUGGAUUUUGGGAUCCCACUGCCUUCAUCGCAGCCCCAGAGGAGUUGUGCAGAGGACAUGGCUCUGCUGCAAGAUGAGCUGCAGCGUUUCCCUUCGAGACACGCAGCUCCUCCAGAUCCCUGCCUGCUCUGCCACAUCCGCCGGCAGCUGCCCAGGGACGGGAACGGGAGGGAGAUGCACUCAUCCCGGAUCCAUCCCUUUUAGCAUCGUUCCCACCGCUGAAGGAGGGUGACUGGGAUCACAUCCCACCUGAGCUGGGACACAGGUCUGGGCUCUGCCACUGAUUUGCUGUAGAACUUGGGCAAGUGGCUGCACCCUCUCCCUGUCUCCAUGACCCAGGAGCAGCAGGUAUCCCCCCACAAUCCAGCUUCACUCAGGGCCCAAGGCUUGGCCCUGGAGGAUUCCCAGUCUCCAAGGAGCUGGGGGUUUUCUGGCAGCUCCUAAAUCUCAGCCAGGCUCUGCAACCUGCGGGGCGGCUGCUCCCCAGCCCUGACCCUCCGCCGAGCUCUCCACAGCUGCCGGCACAGCCCGGGACCACAGGGCUCACCGGGAAGCCUGAACAAUGCCGACGAGCUGAGAUCAUUCCUCCCAGCUGAUUAUUUGCUCAAAAAUAUUUCUGAGCUCAGGCCUCCUCGGGGAAAACACUCCCAAACACCCGGCAAAAAGCUGCUGAGUCUGGAGGAACCACACACCCCGCUCGCUCAGCCGAGACACCCCCCCCUCCGAUGACAAGCCCUGGCGUCAGAGGGAUUGAGGCCAAAGUCGGCUGUUUGAUCUCCCCCUCGGCUGGGGGAAGCUGAAUUUCAGGCCCUCGAAGGGCUUUCACCACUUCCCUGUAGCGGUUUCCUGCCAUGAUGGGAGUGCAGGAAUUUUUGAGAGGUGAGUCAGAGGCUGCGAUGAGAACCACCUGGCUGGGGCUGGCCUGGGAGGCUUGAUCCCCAUCCAGGGGU